AGACACAUGGACGGCCAACUGCCACCAGUGCACCUGCAUGGCUGCCAGGUCUGUGGACUGCAGACCCCGGGAGUGCCCCGCCCCACCCACAUGUGGAGCCGGAGAGAAGGUGGUCACCUUCUCAUCUAGUGAUACAUACCUGCUGUGACAUUGGACACUAUGCUGCGUCCAGCGCAGCGCCAUGGAGCCCAGCGGCCUGCGCCCUAAUGCCUCCUUGCCCCCACGCUGCAUUGCAUUGCAUCGCACCCAUAGGCCCCAGCGCUGGGGCUCGACCCCGUGCCCUGAGCACCUGGCCACGACUGUGUGGAGGCCCCCCGCGUGGAAGUACUGCUGAGGACUCAGGACAGUGCUGUGCCGGACAGCCUCGGCCAGGUCCAUCUUGCUGGAGCCCAUCUACUGGGAUUCCUCCAAUGCCAAGAUUUUUUAUGUGGGGAGAAGUGCCUGGAUCAACCAAUUCAGAAGCUGCUCCAAUCAGCAGAUGAAGAAGCCAUUACUGCAUUUUUGGAAGAAAACUUUAAAUCUCCCAAAUGAAUGAUGACUCAUUAUUGA